rnacentral:lncRNA from 1 species
UCAAUUUCUACACUAAACUAUCAUCUGAGAUCUGAAAUCCUAACGACUGGAAUCACUAUCUAUUCCUUCGUUCUUCCGAUUCAACAGACCAUCAGGUUUGUGUUUUUGAAUCUGAGUAUCCAUGAUUUAUAGUGAAUCAAGUCUGCAAAGAUCAGUGGCUACGGAGAAGAGUUCCCAGCGGUAGAUGGUGAUUGAGGUAUGUUCCGACAAACUGAGAUCUAGGGUUUUACUUUAAUUUUUGGAUUUUAUUUAACUACAAUUCGUAAACCAAAUCGGAUAAAUGCAGUUUAAGAGAGGGCUGUCCUGUGAUUCGUGCCAAAGCGUUGCGGGCAGUAAGUGAAUUUUAUAACAAGUUCUAGGGCUUUUAUUUGAUGGAAGAAGUUAACUUGUUGUUGUCUAUCAUUGUUAUGCUGUGAGCAGGUUAGUAUAAUCGUAGAGGCUGAUCCAGAGGUAUUGGGUGAUAAAUACGUUCAGACAGCAGUUGAGGGCAUAGUUUUGUGACUCUGCUAUAUCUGUACGAGAAGCAACACUGGAGCUUCUUGGUCGAUAUAUUGCUUCACAUCCUAAUGUUGCUUUGAGGGUUGAUAACAGAACUGAAAUAGAGAAACAAAUACAUGAAUGGUUGUUGAUCACUUCCUCAAGGAAUGCAAAAUGGUGGUACUCUGCAUAGUUU